UGAUAUAAAAGAAGAAUUCUGUAAACACAACAUCAAGUGAUCAAACUAUGAAAAAACAAUAACCAAGCAGUUUGAAGUUACACAAACAAACACGAAUGCAAACCCGACCAAAAAUGAACGUUAAUCUACUCUCCCCAAUUUCAACAAACCUUAUAUACAACAUUUCCACUAUCUUGUGAUAUACUUUAAAAUUUCCCAUUUCAAAGUCCUAUGAGAAAACAGUAACAAAGCAAUUUGAAUUUCCACCAUCUUUCUUCUUUUUUUAAUAAAAAACAUCCCAAAUUUCCUCAGAACCCAAAUACAGAAAUAGCAAAGCCAAAUACUGAAAAUACUGAAAUUCCUAUACAUACAAAUACUAAGUGAAAUAGAANNNNNNNNNNNNNNNNNNNNCUGAAAUUCCUAUACAUACAAAUACUAAGUGAAAUAGAAGCUUCUCAUAGAGAGAGGGGCAGAAACAUCAAUUGAUCGAAUCAGGAACUCACCUGAAGUUGAAUUUCUGGAAGACGAAAAGUUUGGCGUAAAUUCCAACCCUGAUUAUGACCGAUGCUCCUCCUCCUCACAUCAAAAACCCAAAAACCCAGAACCACCUCCCUUGUCCUUGCUGAUGACAAACCCAAUAUUACACCUUAAACCCCUGCAUCAUUGAAACCCCAAAUCAUUGACAUACAAAGAUUGAAAGUAAACUCAAGAAACUCUUUCAGAAAACCCAGCAAAUAAAUCCUAAAUCGAAGAAAAGCAAACAUGAUCACGACAUGCACAAAGUAAAUUACCCAAAUUCGUGAAACCAGAAUGCAAAGGAAGAGGGGGAUUGAGAAAAAGACCCGAUCUAAAUCGAAAUCUACCAAAUUUAAGGAUCCGAAACUCAUAUGCCCACAAAAUAAUUGCAUGUAUCAACAUUUUUCUCUCAGUUUAUCCACAAUCA
rnacentral:lncRNA from 1 species